rnacentral:rRNA from 1 species
UAUCACUUAGCGGCGGACGGGUGAGUAAUGCUUAGGAAUCUGCCUAUUAGUGGGGGACAACAUUCCGAAAGGAAUGCUAAUACCGCAUACGUCCUACGGGAGAAAGCAGGGGACCUUCGGGCCUUGCGCUAAUAGAUGAGCCUAAGUCGGAUUAGCUAGUUGGUGGGGUAAAGGCCUACCAAGGCGACGAUCUGUAGCGGGUCUGAGAGGAUGAUCCGCCACACUGGGACUGAGACACGGCCCAGACUCCUACGGGAGGCAGCAGUGGGGAAUAUUGGACAAUGGGGGGAACCCUGAUCCAGCCAUGCCGCGUGUGUGAAGAAGGCCUUUUGGUUGUAAAGCACUUUAAGCAGUGAAGAAGACUCUUCGGUUAAUACCCGGAGACGAUGACAUUAGCUGCAGAAUAAGCACCGGCUAACUCUGUGCCAGCAGCCGCGGUAAUACAGAGGGUGCAGGCGUUAAUCGGAAUUACUGGGCGUAAAGGGAGCGUAGGUGGCUCGAUAAGUCAGAUGUGAAAUCCCCGGGCUCAACCUGGGA